rfam:Millerozyma farinosa CBS 7064 chromosome A complete sequence
AAAUGUUUGCCAACACUCUGGUGCCUGAUAUAACUUCGAACUUGAUUCGAAGUUUUCCCGUAUUUGGUUCCUAUUUCAGCGCAAACUAGAUAAAAAGCUAAUUACUCACCAUCAUAGUCACCUAAUGACUAUGAUAGGUCCAUUUCACGAGCUAACAU